UACGUAGGGUGCAAGCGUUAAUCGGAAUUACUGGGCGUAAAGCGUGCGCAGGCGGUUUUGUAAGUCUGUCGUGAAAGCCCCGGGCUUAACCUGGGAAUUGCAGUGGAUACUGGCAAGCUGGAGUAUGGUAGAGGAAGGUGGAAUUCCCGGUGUAGCAGUGAAAUGCGUAGAGAUCGGGAGGAACACCAGUGGCGAAGGCGGCCUUCUGGACCAAUACUGACGCUCAUGCACGAAAGCGUGGGGAGCAAACAGG
rnacentral:rRNA from 1 species